CAGUAGCCACGGUAAUACGUAGGUGGCAAGCGUUAUCCGGAAUUAUUGGGCGUAAAGCGCGCGUAGGCGGUUUUUUAAGUCUGAUGUGAAAGCCCACGGCUCAACCGUGGAGGGUCAUUGGAAACUGGAAAACUUGAGUGCAGAAGAGGAAAGUGGAAUUCCAUGUGUAGCGGUGAAAUGCGCAGAGAUAUGGAGGAACACCAGUGGCGAAGGCGACUUUCUGGUCUGUAACUGACGCUGAUGUGCGAAAGCGUGGGGAUCAAACAGGAUUAGAUACCCCAGUAGUCCCUGUCUCUUAUAA
rnacentral:rRNA from 1 species